UACGUAGGUGGCGAGCGUUGUCCGGAUUUACUGGGCGUAAAGAGCGCGCAGGCGGUCGUGCAAGUCGCGUGUGAAAGCCCCCGGCUCAACUGGGGAGGGUCACGCGAUACUGCUCGACUCGAAGGCAGGAGAGGGAAGUGGAAUUCCCGGUGUAGUGGUGAAAUGCGUAGAUAUCGGGAGGAACACCAGUGGCGAAGGCGACUUCCUGGCCUGUUCUUGACGCUGAGGCGCGAAAGCUAGGGGUAGCAAACGGGG
rnacentral:rRNA from 1 species